rnacentral:rRNA from 1 species
GACGAACGCUGGCGGCGUGCUUAACACAUGCAAGUCGAACGGAAAGGCCCUGCUUUUGUGGGGUGCUCGAGUGGCGAACGGGUGAGUAACACGUGAGUAACCUGCCCUUGACUUUGGGAUAACUUCAGGAAACUGGGGCUAAUACCGGAUAGGAGCUCCUGCUGCAUGGUGGGGGUUGGAAAGUUUCGGCGGUUGGGGAUGGACUCGCGGCUUAUCAGCUUGUUGGUGGGGUAGUGGCUUACCAAGGCUUUGACGGGUAGCCGGCCUGAGAGGGUGACCGGCCACAUUGGGCCUGAGCUACGGCCCCGACUCCUACGUUAGGCAGCGGUGGGGAAUAUUGCCCGAUGGGCUGGAGCCUGCUGCAGCGACGCCGCGUGCGGGAGGGCGGCCUUCGUGUUGUAAACCGGUUGCGCCUGCGGCGAAGCGGGAGUGGCGGUGGCUUUUAAUGAGGCCCCGCCUAACCAGGUG